AUAAUAAUACUAUGUAUGUGUGACGCAUGUUCACACGCCAUUAUAUCGUGUUUGUCAAUAAUAUACACAACGUGUGUAUACAAAUUUAACUUCACAACACUUCUAUAAAUAAUUUAAAAACGUCGAUCGUGUUCUACUUCUACCUAAGCAAUAUCGUAAUAUUUCUCGAGCUCCACGGUAUACGCUAAUUUGUUUGAAAAACAUUUUGGACAUGUUCGAACAGGGUUUCUUGUUUUUAGGUAUCUGUAAAUUAUAGUGACGGACAAUGCCGAACAGUUAUUAUCGGACU